rnacentral:tRNA from 1 species
GGAUAGUUACCGAAGCGGUCAUAACGGCAUGGUCUUGAAAACCAUUGUGUCAGCUCGUAUCUGACUCGGGGGUUCAAAUCCCUCACUAUCCGCCA